CUCUCGGCAACGGAUAUCUCGGCUCUCGCAUCGAUGAAGAACGCAGCC
rnacentral:ncRNA from 2 species